rnacentral:lncRNA from 1 species
AUCUUGCAAUAACCUAUAAUGGAAUAUAAUCUGCAAAAACACCCCUGAGUCACCAUGAUGUUUACCUGAAACUGACACAAUAUUGUAAACCAACUGUACUUCGGGUUUUUUUUUAAAAGGCAGAAGUAUCUUGUUUAAAUGGUAUAUAAGGAAGAGAGAGGUUACCAGCUUAUGAGGACAAAGAUAAAAUGUGCAAAAUCAGAGAGAACAGUGCUAUGGGCAUUACCUGGAUGGAACAAAUGGCCAAACUAAGACAAAAGGAAGACCGUGUACAGAACUGGCACUGAGUUUUGACAGAAUUUGUGGAGGCUGGCUGGUUUAGUGUUCUGUAUCUUUAGUUGCUUUACUUGGGAGCAGAAAACAUAAGUACACUAGAAAAACACCAUAUGGACCAACGUGGCUUUUCAUCUUUGAAUGAUGGCAUUCCUCUUUUUCCAGUAUUCUGUGAACUGAUCUGAAUUAUGGAAAUGUUCACUGAAACAAAGGAACUGUAUCAAUACAAUGUAUUUUUUUAUUCCGGAUACACUAUGUUGGUACUCUAUAAAACAUCUGCUUCAAUAUUUUUACUUUUGUGAUAUAUAUUACUACAAACAUGAUAAUUAUAGAGCAAUUUUAAAAAAUCUAUAGGAAGUUACACAUGAGGAUUGUAUUUUUCGCUUUGUUGGAAAUAUACCCAUUUUUACCUACUUUUCAUAUGUCCAUAUACAUAGGAUUUAGGAGAUUUAAGUUAGUUGAAGCUAUAAAAACACAAUGAAACACAAAUGUAAAGAGGACAUUUUAAGGAACUUCUACUUUGGAUUUCUACCUUUUCAGAAAACUUCAGAAAAGAUGCUUUCAUUUUUUUUGUCCUUUGAUUCUUUUUUUUACAAGUUUGUGUUUUUCUCAGGUUUAUAGCUAACAAUGUGCCCUUCAACCUAGUCCAAAUUCUACUAAGCUCUACCUUAGGUACUGUCUUACCUUAUUCUUUUUCCCUUUAUGAUUUUUUUUUUUUCUUCGUGAAUAUUUCUUGGAAGUUCCUCUACGUUCUCAAAGCUUUUGUUUACAUAUGGUCUUAUAUUACUCUCAUUUUAAGUUUCAGAUGGAUUCAACAUUUUGAAUAACGCUUUGUGAAAAAAAGAUGGUCUCAAUAUUCUUAACAUAACUCAGGAUCUUGAAAAGGCCAUUCAAAAUAUUCACUUCCCUCAUGCUCCACCAGUGUAUUUUUUUUUUCCCCUAGUUCUUUGAAAAGUUUACCGUUAUCCAGGGAGCAAAGAAAUAGCUUUGGUUACCUUUUAAAGAGUUAUCAGCUAAGAUUACAGUGUUCCUGCUCAUCAAUUUGCUUUUCCACACUGAUCUCUGACUUGAAAUUUUCAGGCUGUCUUGAAGGUCAAGUAACAAAAUAGCACCAUUCAUUAUAGAGAACAUCCCUCCUGCCCUUUCGUUUGGAGGACCCUGCUGUUCCAUAGGUAUGACAGCAAAAGGAGAAGCAUGAAGGCUCCAUCUGGUUCUGACCUUUGUAAGCUUCAUUUCAGUAGAGGCAAGGAUUAAUGUAGAGAAAUGUCUCAUCUUUUGAAAACAUCUUGUUAAAAUUUCACAACUCAAAAAAGGUGUCCAAAUGUUCUCUUUAAAGAAUCUAAAUUUUAAAAUUAAAAAAAUAGAUUAUACAUUCAUCACAGGCCCGAAUUGUUAGAAAUUUAACAAUUCUUUUCUCUCAUGGAAACACUGGGCUUAACCUGCCCUUUUCGAUGCGGUUUCCAAGAUAACUCAAGCAUCUGCUUUAUGACAGGACUUCAAUCAGCAUGGAGUCAAGUGUGACUGUCCUGCUUCUUUUUAUAGAAAGGAUUAAUUGUGUUUUACAUCUUCUGAGUGACAAUUAUUCUGAUAAUUGUCCCCUUCACAAUUCCUAUCCUCUUCAGACGCAGCAGGAUGACAACUGAUGUUCUUCCUACAAUAUCAAAAUCUGACCUAUAGGAACCUGACCUGAGCUGGCACAGGAACAAGAACCCAAACCGGCAUAUGAGAAAAAAAAAAACAUUUUAUGGGAAUCUUAAAUAUUUUGACCCUCUCUGAUGUAUCACAAUAGCCUAUUCUAGCUCAUACGCCCUCAUAAUGUAUGGCAGGCAUUUCUCAUUCAAAUAUGAAAGUUAACUACUUAGAGUGCUUGUGAUUUUAAAACCUAACCACUACAAGCUCACAUGUUCAAAACUAACGUUGAUGAUUCCAUAAUAUAAAUUAUGAUCAUGAUCCCACCAUUAAAACACCAACCGCAUUGAUUUGCUUGAACAAUUUGCCACAAAGACAUUUCAUAAAAAGAAUGGUCUAUUUGCUUAAUCGUUGACGUUAUUUCAUUUUGCUUCAGACCUGCUCAUUUUUUCUAAAAGGUUUUGCCCUAUUGUUUUAUUCUUUGUGAAUUUUUUUCUUCUUUUGAUUCGGAAACAACAUUUAGUUAAGUUAUCCCUUCCAAAUAAUUUUUCAUCUGAUUCGUCAGUGUUCCUGCAUUUCACUUUGGCCACGAUCCUUUAGUCUGCUUAUAUCUUAGAAGUAUGUAAUGAUAUCUUCAGCAUAUGCGGCUCAGAAGUUGCACUACAAUAGUUCUUUAUAUAUCCUUCCUAAAGGAAAACUGGAAGUAUUCUUCAAAAUUAGAAAUCUUAGAGUCCUGUUCCUUGCUUUGCCCAACCCCUUUUGUGAAAUUCCAAGACACCGUUCUCAAACGUUAUGUGUGUUUUGAGAAGAACACUUUUUCUCAAGUGUAGUUAUAUAUCUAUCUGGAAAACUAUACAGUGAUACCCAAGAAAAUGGAAAUAUUAAUUAAUCUGGGGCUUCAUUUUCUUUUUUUCAAGCAGAAUAUAAAAACAAUAUCACAACUGAGAUUCACUGAUGAAUUUAGCAUCAUUUAGCAAUUCAUUUUUUUCUAAAAAGUCAUUAUAUUGCCAAGAAGUGAAACUAACAAAAAAAAAAUGAAAAUUCCAAAUCUUUCAAUUAAAGAAAUUCUGAAAUAUUCAUUUCUUAAUAUAAUAAAAACCAUUUGGGAAACAUUAUUAAGGAAAAUUCUGCAGCAAGCAUAGUAAAUUUAACAAAUUCACUAUCUCUUUGUAUUGGGCUCCCAUUGCAUUUUGGCAGGGCAAACACCUAGAUUUGACAUUGAUCCACAACAUAGAUAGAUUAAAUAGGGGAAGGAGAAAGAUGGUAGAAAUGUGCCCAGUGGCAUGUAGGAGGGAGGAAAUAAAUAAGCAGCUACCAUUGUUUGAAGAAACCAUGAAUUGUGUUAUGUGUGGUACAUGUGUGUGGACAGGGAGUGCUGCCUGCCCUCCAAGUAAAUAAAGUUUGCUGCCCAACCAUCCCAGUUCUAAAAGGAUCAAACCAUUGGUCACUGCAGCUGCCUGGGGACAGUGAACCCCGAGGGGAAUUGAGAAUGAAAAAAAAUAGGAAGCAUUGUGUGAUUUGGAUACUGGCCCUUGAUAAUUACAAUGCACAUCUAAGGAAUAAUUUCAGUGAGCCCAGAUUAUUGCAUCUUCCCAUAUACACAAAAGCACUAAAAUCAUUAACUUGAGAUGUGUGUUCUUUGUGAUUAGCAGUAAUCUUUUGACAUUUGAUUACAUGUCUCGCCCCCACCCCAGGCAAAAGAAUUCCUAUAUAUUCUGGCUCCUCCCUAAUCUCUCCAGAGCAGUUCCUCAGAGCUAUCUGAGAGGCUGUCUCCUAGGCUACAGUCUUCAGUAAGACUCCAGAAUACAACUUAACUUGAAACUUUUAGGUCGAGAGUUUUUCUUCACUCAACAUAUGUGUUUAGGUAUAAAUAAAAGACUAAUAAAGUUUGAUCCUAUAUUUUAUGAAGAAUUUUUGCCAGACUGUCAGUUAAAAGAGUUGGAAGAAUUAAAGUCUGUCCUGAUGAAAAUUACGUAAAAAAUAGAUAAACACAUCAAAAGGAAAAUGUAAACUAGAGAAAUUAGAGACAGUACGUUAAGUAUAGAAAUCUACAGUGGAAAAAGUAAAAACAGGCUGUACAGAGAAUAAGAAAUGAUUAACAAAUACAAAUUAUCUAAAACGACUUAAAAUAGAAGAAAUAGGGAGAAUAUAUAGUUAUAAUUUUCAUUGGGAUGAAAUCAAUAUAAUAUAGGCAAAUUCUACAUUUAUAAAUAUGUAAUUUUGGUGUCAGUUACUGUGUGUGAUAAAAUUUAGACAAAGACUACUGUAACUAAUAAAAAUUACUUUCUUACUCCUAAAUAUCUUAGAAAACAUCUGUUUUUAAAUUAUAUUUGUUUCCUUAUUGUCUUGACAAUCACCCACGAGAAAACAGAAAAAUGAGAAACAUUGAACUAUAUUUCUGUUUUUGUGCCAGUACAAUAUUGUUUUGAUAACUGUAACUUUCUUGUAUUGUCUGAAAUUAGGGAGCUUGAUUCCUCCAUUUCUGUUUUUCUUUUUCAAUAUUGCUUUGUCUAUUCAUGGUCUUUUGUGUUUCCAUACAAAUUUUAAAAUAUUUUGUGCUAGUUCUGUGAAGAAUGUCCUUGGUAAUUUGACAGAGAUUGCAUCGAAUCUGUAGAUUGCUGUGGGUAGUAUAGUCAUUUUGACAAUAUUGAUUCUUCCAGUCCAAGAGCAUGGUCUAUCUUUCCAUAUGUUUGUGUCAUCUUUGAUUUCUUUCACCAGUAUCUUAUAGUUUUCAGGGUAUAGGUCUUGUGUCUCUUUAGGAAGUUUAUUCCUAGGUAUUUUAUUCUUUUUGGUGCAAUGGUAAAUGGGAUGGUUUCUCUGAUUUCUCUUUAAUAGGAUAGAAAGCUCAGAAAUAAACCCAAGCACUUAUGGUCAACAAAUCUAGGACAAAGGAGGCAAGAAUAUACAGUGGAAGAAAGAUAAGUCUCUUCAAUAAGUGGUGCUGGGAAAACUGAAAAGCUACGUGUAAAAGAAUGGAUUUAGAACACUCUCUAACACCAUAUAGAAAAAUAAACUCAAAAUGGAUUAAAAGACCUAAGUAUAAGGCCAAAUACUGUAACAAUUGUAGAGGAAAAUGUAGCAGAAUGUUCUUUGACAUAAAUCACAGGAACAUCUUAUUUGAUCCACCUCCUAGAAUAAUGACAAUAAAGACACAAAUAAACCA